rnacentral:rRNA from 1 species
GACGAACGCUGGCGGCGUGCUUAACACAUGCAAGUCGAACGGACAGGCCCUGCUUUUGUGGGGUGCUCGAGAGGCGAACGGGUGAGUAACACGUGAGUAACCUGCCCUUGACUUUGGGAUAACUUCAGGAAGCUGGGGCUAAUACCGGAUAGGAGCUCCUGCUGCAUGGUGGGGGUUGGAAAGUUUCGGCGGUUUGGGAUGGACUCGCGGCUUAUCAGCUUGUUGGUGGGGUAGUGGCUUACCAAGGCUUUGACGGGUAGCCGGCCUGAGAGGGUGACCGGCCACAUUGGGACUGAGAUACGGCGCAGACUCCUACGUGAGGCAGCAGUGGGGAAUAUUGCACAAUGGGCGGAAGCCUGAUGCAGCAACGCCGCGUGCGGGAUGGCGGCCUUCGGGUUGUAAACCGCUUUCGCCGGUGACGAAGCGUGAGUGACGGUAAUGGGUAAAGAAGCACCGGCUAACUACGUG